UGGGUUCCGGUGCUGGCUCCUGCUGGUCUGGAAGGAGUCCUCUUUGAUGCUGUGGGGAAUAUGGUACCACCACAGAUGUCCACUGUUUGGCAUAGAUUCGAAAUGAUGCGAAAAAAAUUCCAGCCAUCCUUUGGAGAGAUGUCCAGUAGAACGUGAACCACCUUGUCCUUAGUACUGGGUGAAAUUGGCUGUGAUGUGCUCGUGAUUGAAAGGAGCUGGAUGGCUAGAGAAAGAGAAAAGAAGAUACAGAGGAAUGGGAUUAAUAUCUGUGCAAGUCCUGGUGAUUGAAGUUCAGUACCUCAACCUGUGGUGUCAUCCUGUCCUCACUUUAGAAAACGAGUUAAUAGUUCAACAACAAUAACAAUAACAACAACAACAAAAUUAAACUGAUGAGUAAAAUAGAACCAGAGGCAUGGAAACAUGGAACAGACUGAAAGUGACCAGAAGGGAGUGGGGAGGGGCAUAAUGGUGGAAAGAAGGGAAGGCACUAGUCAAAGAACAUGUAUAAAUGUCCCACGGACAUGGACAAUGGUGCAGGGAUUUACUGUGGAAGUGGGGGUGGGCUGGGCAGAGGAUGGGAAAGGGGGAAAAUUGGAACAACUGUAAUAUAGUGACAACAAAAAAAUUUAAAAAAUGA